rnacentral:rRNA from 1 species
UACGAAGGGGGCUAGCGUUGCUCGGAAUCACUGGGCGUAAAGGGUGCGUAGGCGGGUUUUUAAGUCAGGGGUGAAAUCCUGGAGCUCAACUCCAGAACUGCCUUUGAUACUGAAGAUCUUGAGUCCGGGAGAGGUGAGUGGAACUGCGAGUGUAGAGGUGAAAUUCGUAGAUAUUCGCAAGAACACCAGUGGCGAAGGCGGCUCACUGGCCCGGUACUGACGCUGAGGCACGAAAGCAUGGGGAGCAAACAGG